rnacentral:rRNA from 1 species
GGACGAACGCUGGCGGCGUGCCUAACACAUGCAAGUCGAACGGAACUGUUUUGAAAGAUUUCUUCGGAAUGAAUUUGAUUUAGUUUAGUGGCGGACGGGUGAGUAACGCGUGAGUAACCUGCCUUCAAGAGGGGGAUAACAUUCUGAAAAGAAUGCUAAUACCGCAUGACAUAUCGGAACCACAUGGUUUUGAUAUCAAAGAUUUUAUCGCUUGAAGAUGGACUCGCGUCCGAUUAGUUAGUUGGUGAGGUAACGGCUCACCAAGACCGCGAUCGGUAGCCGGACUGAGAGGUUGAACGGCCACAUUGGGACUGAGACACGGCCCAGACUCCUACGGGAGGCAGCAGUGGGGGAUAUUGCGCAAUGGGGGCAACCCUGACGCAGCAACGCCGCGUGAAGGAUGAAGGUUUUCGGAUUGUAAACUUCUUUUAUUAAGGACGAAAAAUGACGGUACUUAAUGAAUAAGCUCCGGCUAACUACGUGCCAGCAGCCGCGGUAAUACGUAGGGAGCAAGCGUUGUCCGGAUUUACUGGGUGUAAAGGGUGCGUAGGCGGCUUUGCAAGUCAGAUGUGAAAUCUAUGGGCUCAACCCAUAAACUGCAUUUGAAACUGUAGAGCUUGAGUGAAGUAGAGGCAGGCGGAAUUCCCCGUGUAGCGGUGAAAUGCGUAGAGAUGGGGAGGAACACCAGUGGCGAAGGCGGCCUGCUGGGCUUUAACUGACGCUGAGGCACGAAAGCGUGGGUAGCAAACAGGAUUAGAUACCCUGGUAGUCCACGCUGUAAACGAUGAUUACUAGGUGUGGGGGGUCUGACCC